rnacentral:rRNA from 1 species
GACGAACGCUGGCGGCGUGCCUAAUACAUGCAAGUAGAACGCUGACGGCGGAGCUUGCUUCUCUGGAUGAGUUGCGGACGGGUGAGUAACGCGUAGGUAACCUGCCUGGUAGGGGGGGAUGACUAUUGGAAACGAUAGCUAAUACCGCAUAAUAGUAGAUGUUGCAUGACAUUUGCUUAAAAGGUGCAGUUGCAUCACUACCAGUUGGCUCUGAGUUGUAUUAGCGAAUGGGGGUGGUACCGGCUCACCAAGACCACGAUGCAUAGCCGACCUGCGAGGGGGAGCGGCCUCGCUGGGACGGGGACAUGGUCCAGACUCCUGCGGGAGGGAGACGGAGGGGAUCUUCGGGAAAGGACGGAAGUGUGACCGAGCAACGACGGGUGAGUGAAGAAGGUUGUCGGGUCGUAAAGCUCUGUUGUGAGAGAAGAACGAGUAUGAGAGUGGAAAGUGCACAUAGUGACGGUAUCUUACGAGAAAGGGACGGCUAACUACGUG